UACGUAGGUGACAAGCGUUGUCCGGAUUUACUGGGCGUAAAGAGCGCGCAGGCGGUCGUUCAAGUCGAGUGUGAAAGCCCCCGGCUCAACUGGGGAGGGUCAUUCGAUACUGAUCGACUCGAAGGCAGGAGAGGGUAGUGGAAUUCCCGGUGUAGUGGUGAAAUGCGUAGAUAUCGGGAGGAACACCAGUGGCGAAGGCG
rnacentral:rRNA from 1 species